AGCCUGUCCACGUGGGGAGGGCCAGCCCCCUCCCUGCGGCCUUGCCCUGGCGUCCUGGCACCUUCUGGCCGCGCCUGCUGGUUAGCGGCGGAGGCCGCGGGGCGCCCUCACCCUGCCGCUGGAGUUCGUCAAGCGGGGAUUGUAGAGGCCGCGACCAAGGUCAUAGUUCCUCCCGCGCGAGCCCAGUUUUAAGGAGCUGGCCGCGCCUCAAGCCGCACUUUCAGCGCACUUGUGACCUGCCGCAUCCGGAGGCCACACCUGGCCGAGUUCCCUCCCUCCCGUCCUCCCGGUGACGCUGCAGGAGAGCUCGCGCCCUGGGGCUCCGAAUCCAGUCCCGGCACGUUGUCGCACCUGUGACUUGCCCUUGGCCAGACAGGCACUGUCCCUCGCCGGGGGAGGGAAAGGGCUCACGUGGUCGCUUUACUCCCGCAGUCAUGCACUUGGGUGAAAACAGACUGAGCAGUCACGAGAACCAGGUUGUCUCCCAGUUAUGGCGCAGAGCCCCAGGACGGCUGCGAGUCAUCAGUUUCCCCGCGGCAGACCUGCGUUUUCUGCGCCGCAGCUGUGGCGCGUGGGGAAGGACGCUGCUCCGGAUUCAGAUCCUGACUCCUGCUUGCUGCAGUGUGUCACCUUGAGCGACUUCCAGAUCUCUCUGACGGCGUUCUCAGGAAUGUAAAUUGUUAACAAUCCCUACCUACCUGGUAGCGGGGAUUAAACGAAGAAACUGAGGCACAGAGAAUGAAGCAACAGUUAAACCAGUGAAGAACCCCACAAACUUCGAGUCUGUGGCGAACCCUCUACGGAGCGGAGCGGAGCUCUGUGUUUGUUGUUUCUUUCUGCGUGGAAGAUGUGUGGUUACCACCAGCACAGGACCAGCAGAACCGUGACUUACAUUUUCCGACAUAAUGUGAUGUAUGUACUAUUUAUGUUUCAUGAUCUGUGUCAUUCCUGACCGUUCCAAAAACACUUGCUACCCGGAAUAUUGGUACAUUGGCAUGGGAGGUGGAGACACAGCACUGACUGCCCUCCGGCACAAUUUUAUACUCAUCAUCUGCUCAGAGGGAGGCACAGCAAGAGAGCAGAGGAAGCUCCAAGGCCCCGGGGUUGACUUUACCAGCAGCAAGUGAGCUGGGUCACAUUCAGACUCUCAGUGCCAGGCCCUGAGUCGGUGGUCACCCGCCAUUGUAAUCAGGGCUCCAGGAACCCCAGUCCUCAGAGCCUGCCUCAGCACCAAAGUUCACCCUAAGCCCAGAUUUAUCGUCUUGAUUUCUUCAGUUGUGAGGUUUCUGGACAAAGUGAAGAGAUAACCGAGUUUUGGAAAUUCACUGUUGAAUUCCAGCCACUGCCCCUGGGCAGCUCCUGCCACCCUGCUCGUAGCAGCCUGCCCUGGCCUGCCGUUCCUGCGGCAGCUCGGAGCCUUCGGCCACUCCCGACCCAGCAACCAUGAGGAAGAGGUGACACCCGCGGACUCCCUGAGAGCAGUCCUUCAUCUCUCCUCAUUCACACAAGGCAGUCCUGUUGGGUGGCUUUCCCAGGCCAGGAGCCCUCCAGGCACCCAGGUGAGCGGCCAGCCGCACGAAGCGUGAAGAGGAAUUGCAUCACAGGCCAGUGUGAUAAGACCAAUCACAAAGGUAUGCACAAAAUAUAGGUGAUGCCCCAAGCCGAGUGAGAGGAAGUCUUUGUGAGGUGGAGGUGGCCCUGUUAAAGGAAUGAAGGAAAGAUAGAAAAGACUGAACGAGAAAGCUGCAAAGGGCACGCCCAGGCCCAGGUACUGCCCGGAGUGUGACGUCCAGCAUGUAUCCACUAACCCUACCUGGGCCUCUGCUUCAUAAUGAGGCCAAGACCCUUGUCUGCACAUCAGAGCUGGCUGAGGCCCUCAUUUGUUUACAGUUUAAUCCUAAUCUGAUCCUGGCUGGAAGGGAAGCUCUUCUCCUUUCAUGCUUUCGGACAGUGGCUUUCCACCUGCCAAGUCCCAACAAAGCAUUUAGGAAUAAAACGAAAUAAAGGAGAAAA